rnacentral:rRNA from 1 species
CCGAGUGAGGGCCCUCUGGGUCCAACCUCCCACCCGUGUUGCACGAACCUGUGUUGCUUCGGCGGGCCCGCCGCCAGGCCGCCGGGGGGCAUCCGCCCCCGGGCCCGCGCCCGCCGAAGCCCCCCUCUGAACGCUGUCUGAAGUUGCAGUCUGAGACAACUAGCUAAAUUAGUUAAAACUUUCAACAACGGAUCUCUUGGUUCCGGCAUCGAUGAAGAACGCAGCGAAAUGCGAUAACUAAUGUGAAUUGCAGAAUUCAGUGAAUCAUCGAGUCUUUGAACGCACAUUGCGCCCUCUGGUAUUCCGGAGGGCAUGCCUGUCCGAGCGUCAUUGCUGCCCUCAAGCACGGCUUGUGUGUUGGGCCCCGUCCCCCCCGCUCCGGGGGGGACGGGCCCGAAAGGCAGCGGCGGCACCGCGUCCGGUCCUCGAGCGUAUGGGGCUUCGUCACCCGCUCUUGUAGGCCCGGCCGGCGCCAGCCGACCCCCAACCUUUUAUUUUUUCUCAGGUUGACCUCGGAUCAGGUAGGGAUACCCGCUGAACUUAAGCAUAUCAAUAAGCGGAGGAAAAGAAACCAACCGGGAUUGCCCUAGUAACGGCGAGUGAAGCGGCAAGAGCUCAAAUUUGAAAGCUGGCU